UCUAUUGCCUAUGCAUACAAAUGGGUUGAACCAUUCGCCUGAGCAAGUUAAAGAGGAGUGCAUAGACAGAGCUAGUUAGCGGGGUAGCUGAGAGGUGGAUAUAUGAGAAUACAAGUACACGCAUUCCAACAUUUUUGACAAGUGAGUACGCGCCAGACCAUUAUCUCACCUGUCUAUUUCGCGAACUGAAUACAGAAAUCGCCAAAGUAGUCAGCGCAUUAUCCAUUGAUACCCGGACCAAUUAACGAAACAACCAGCGAACGAAACAGCUAGCAUAUACACAGGAAUAUACUAUGCGUCACUUAUGCAUACAUAAAUAAAUAUAUGAGCACAUCGAACGUUGGCUGAUUAUAAAUCGUGACACAAUUCAGCCGGCAAUUUGGAGCGACGGGCGCAGUGCUUUUCCUUAUUUGUACGGGUGUGUGCCACUUGUGAACACUUGUUUAUAAUAUAUUCAUAUAUGUGCACUCGCAUUACAUUACUCCUAUAUAUAGGCACGUCUGAGUAGCGAGCAUAGUGCAAUUGGACAUUAAAAUAAAUUUAUGUACAAAUUUUGUUGUGUCUAAGCUUCUACUUAUAGAGUAAGUAGUAUGGUAUAUA